rnacentral:rRNA from 1 species
UACGAAGGGGGCUAGCGUUGCUCGGAAUUACUGGGCGUAAAGCGCGUGUAGGCUGCUCAGAAAGUCGGAUGUGAAAGCCCUGGGCUUAACCUAGGAAGUGCAUUCGAAACUUCUGAGCUUGAGUUCUGGAGAGGAAGGCGGAAUUCUCGGUGUAGAGGUGAAAUUCGUAGAUAUCGAGAGGAACACCGGUGGCGAAGGCGGCCUUCUGGACAGUGACUGACGCUGAGACGCGAAAGCGUGGGGAGCAAACAGG